AAUGUCAAACCUUACUGCGUUUAACGAAUCCUUCUACAAUAUUCCUGUGGUAUGGUCAUCAGCCUCUACCAAAACACUUUGGUCCUGGAACAUAGUAGGCCUUCAAGCAACAUUUUUGAAUGAACGAUCUCC